rnacentral:rRNA from 1 species
AGGUGGGAUUACCCGCUGAACUUAAGCAUAUCAAUAAGCGGAGGAAAAGAAACUAACAAGGAUUCCCCUAGUAACGGCGAGUGAAGAGGGAAAAGCCCAAAUUUGUAAUCUGGCUCUUUUAGAGUCCGAGUUGUAAUUUUGAGAACUGUUUUCAGUGCUGGACCAUGUUUAAGUCUGUUGAAAAACAGCAUCAUUGAGGGUGAUAAUCCCGUUCAUGAUAUGGACUACCAGUACUUUAUGAUACAGUCUCUAAGAGUCGAGUUGUUUGGGAAUGCAGCUCAAAGUGGGUGGUAAAUUCCAUCUAAGGCUAAAUAUAGGUGAGAGACCGAUAGCAAACAAGUACCGUGAGGGAAAGAUGAAAAGAACUUUGGAAAGAGAGUUAACAGUACGUGAAAUUGCUGAAAGGGAAACAAUUGAAGUUAGCCUUGUUAUUGUCAGUUCAGCUCUUUUAGAGUGUAUUCUGAUGAUUAACGACCAACAUCAGUCUUUGAGUGCUGGAUAAGGGUUUUGGAAAUGUAGCAGUCUCGGCUGUGUUAUAGUCCAUUACUUUGAUACAGUGCUUGGGAUUGAGGAUCGCAGUAAGCCAUUUUAUGGUGGACCAAAUUUUUGGUCUUCUUACUGAGGAUGUUGGUGAAA